rnacentral:lncRNA from 1 species
GUUAAGCUCUGAUUUAUAUUAAAAUGAAUUUUUAGGAAUUUUAAGAUUAGCUUUCUUUAUUUCUGAUUAAUGACAUGUGUUGAGUGCUUGCUUGUUCAAUGGCUUUUAUAUUAUUCACUCUUCUUUUUAUGUUGAAUCACUUUUUAUACUUAUUAGACAUCUGUAGAAUCCUAAUUAUAUAUGUUAUAUUUGAUACAUUUUAUAUAUGUAGAUACAUUUUUGUUGAAUUUUAAAUAUUUACGGGGCUAAUGUUUUUCAUGAAGAAAAUAAUGGUGUUAAACUAAACAUUGACAUUGUUGAAAUUAAAUUAUGUUCAAACUGUAAUAAAAUAUUUUAGAAAUGAAAAAAAAAGAAAGUAUAAAUAAAUAAAUUGAUAGGAAAUUAUUCAAUUUAGAUAAAAAAUUAAAUUUUUAAAUGUAAUGAUGUGAAAUGCAAUAGUUUAUGUUUUGAAAGUUUAUGAAAUAUUUACUUUUGCCUUGGUAUGGGAAAUUUUUGUUAAGAGUUUUGGAUAUUAAUUGGGAAAUUAUUUACCAAAUGGCUAGAAUAGGGGCUUAUUUUCAUAGAUAAAAAUUUUAAGUAAAACAUUUUUUUUGUAGAAAAGAUUAAUCCUUUAAAUAUUAUUCAAUGUCAGUUAUUUCUAUUUUGUGUCAUUUCAGAGAUGUUAUAUCAGUAUAGUUGUUAUUUUAUGAAUAAAUCAGCAUUGCUAUAAAUAUGAUGCACCAAUCUCUUUAUCUUUACAAAAUGUGAUCAAGUUAGAGAUCAUUCCUCUACGUAAACUUGUUUUUCGAACUUUUCAAGAUUCCUGUGAGGAAAAUUAUAGUUAUACCACAAAACUAUCUAAUAAAUAUAAUGAUAGAGAAGAAAUAUUAACUUUUGAUUUAGAUUUGGAAAAAAAAUCAGAAAAUUUGGACAAAGAAAAUUGGUGAAACUUUUUUAAAGUAAAUGUUUGAUUUUGUGUGAAAGUGGCAUGAAAUGUACACAAAUGAAGUUUUGUUUUAUGUUUGUCAUGUUGCUGAUCCUAUCUAUCCAUUCAACAUCCUGUCAAUUGACGAAUGUCAAAUUGUUAUGAUUAGAAAUAUAAAAAAGAUAUUCAACCAUAAUGACUAUUUCUAUUUCUAGCAUCACAAAUAAUUUUUGUAGUUAAAACCUUGCAUCACAUAGUUGUCCUGUCAAGCAUUGAGCCACAAGGAUAGGGUAAUGGUCUCCAUCUUUCUGUCUAUCCAUUCCCUCAGACCAUUUGAAUCAAGCUUUCAUACUUAGGAGGAGUAUUUGUUAUUGUAUUUAUAUCUUGACCAUGCUGUAUGGUCAGUUUGAUUUGACAGUUUAUGGUAAUUAUUGUACUUUAAACCAUUCUUUUUAGCUAUGAAGGGCCUAGAGAGCCUUUCACAUCACUUGGCAUCUGUAAUCUUUUACAAAAAUAUUCUCUGAAACUGACUGGCCAAAUUAACUGAACUUGGUCACAAUCAUUGGAGUAUCUAGUUGAAAUAAUAUUCCAG